ACACGUAGCUAACCUACCCUCGGGACGUGGAUACCCCCCGGGAAACUGGGGCUAAUCCGCGAUAGGUGUGGAGGCCUGGAAAUGGUUCCAUGCCCAAAGGCGCGGCGAUCAUGUUUGUUGUGUGCCUGAGGAUGGGGCUGCGGCCGAUCAGGCCGUUGGCGAGGUAACGGCUCACCAAACCUUUGACCGGUACGGGCCAUGGAAGUGGUAGCCCGGAGAUGGGCACUGAGAUAGGGGCCCAGGCCCUACGGGGCGCAGCAGGCGCGAAAACUCCACAAUGUACGGAAGUACGAUGGGGUUAUCUCGAGUGCAGUCCGAUAAGGGCUGCUUUUCCAUAGAGUAAUAUCCUGUGGGAAUAAGAGGGGGGCAAGACUGGUGUCAGCCGCCGCGGUAACACCAGCCCCUCGAGUGGUGGGGACUAUUAUUUGGCCUAAAGCGUCCGUAGCUGGCUGUAUCCGUCUCCCGGUAAAUCCGGCGUCCUAAGCGUCGGUUCUCGGGUGAUACCAUACAGCUAGAGGGUGGGAUAGGUGAGCGGUAUUUCUGGGGUAGGGGCGAAAUCCUUUGAUCCCAGGAGGACCACCAGUGGCGAAGGCUGCUCACUAGAACACGCCUGACGGUCAGGGACGAAAGCUGGGGCAGCGAACCGGAUUAGAUA
rnacentral:rRNA from 1 species